rnacentral:misc_RNA from 1 species
CAACUCUUCAAGUGUAACCACUUUUAGCCAGACAAACUUGGUGGAAAAUGGUGAAGGGACGCCAAGGAGAGCGAGUCAGACUCUACGUCAGAGGGACCAUCCUCGGAUACAAGAGGUCCAAGUCAAACCAGUAUCCAAACACAUCAUUGAUCCAGAUUGAGGGAGUGAAUACCAAGGAAGAGGUUGCCUGGUAUGCUGGAAAGCGCAUGGCUUAUAU